rnacentral:rRNA from 1 species
GACAGAGGGGGCAAGCGUUGCUCGGAAUCACUGGGCGUAAAGGGCGCGUAGGCGGCGAGGCAAGUCGGAUGUGAAAUCCCGGGGCUCAACCCCGAAACUGCAUUCGAUACUGCUUUGCUUGAGUACUGGAGAGGAGACUGGAAUUUACGGUGUAGCAGUGAAAUGCGUAGAUAUCGUAAGGAAGACCAGUGGCGAAGGCGAGUCUCUGGACAGUUACUGACGCUGAGGCACGAAGGCCAGGGGAGCAAACGGG